rnacentral:rRNA from 1 species
ACUACGGGUGGCAGCAGUCGAGAAUCAUCCACAAUGGGGGAAAGCCUGAUGGUGCGACGCCGCGUGGGGGAAUGAAGGUCUUCGGAUUGUAAACUCCUGUCAUGUGGGAGCAAAUUAAAAAGAUAGUACCACAAGAGGAAGAGACGGCUAACUCGGUGCCAGCAGCCGAGGUAAUACAGAGGUCUCAAGCGUUGUUCGGAAUGACUGGGCGUAAAGCGUGCAUAGGGGGUUUCGUAAGUCGUGUGUGAAAGGCGCGGGCUCAACCCGCGGACGGCACAUGACACUGGGAGACUAGAGUGAAGGAGAGGGAACUGGAAUUCUAGGUGUAGCAGUGAAAUGCGUAGAUAUCGGGAGGAACACUCGUGGCGAAGGCGGGUUCCUGGACAUUAACUGACGCUGAGGCACGAAGGCGAGGGGAGCGAAAGGGAUUAGAUACCCCAGUAGUA